GAUGAACGCUGGCGGCGUGCUUAACACAUGCAAGUCGAACGAAGCACUUUAUUUGAUUUCCUUCGGGACUGAUUAUUUUGUGACUGAGUGGCGGACGGGUGAGUAACGCGUGGGUAACCUGCCUUGUACAGGGGGAUAACAGUUGGAAACGGCUGCUAAUACCGCAUAAGCGCACGGCAUCGCAUGAUGCAGUGUGAAAAACUCCGGUGGUAUAAGGUGGACCCGCGUUGGAUUAGCUAGUUGGUGAGGUAACGGCCCACCAAGGCGACGAUCCAUAGCCGACCUGAGAGGGUGACCGGCCACAUUGGGACUGAGACACGGCCCAAACUCCUACGGGAGGCAGCAGUGGGGAAUAUUGCACAAUGGGCGAAAGCCUGAUGCAGCGACGCCGCGUGAGCGAAGAAGUAUUUCGGUAUGUAAAGCUCUAUCAGCAGGGAAGAUAAUGACG
rnacentral:rRNA from 1 species